AGGAGGAAGAUCCAUUUUGUGUUUGAGAAAAUUUAAGAGUUUAUUAUUAGUUAAAUCAGAACGUUAAUUAUACUUUUUUCAUUAUAAUUAUAUUCAGUACUUUAUAAACUUUUGAUAAAUCAUAUAAGUUUAUUGGCAGCUAAAAAGAAAACUUAUAUUGAUAUAAAAUUUUUGCGACAAAAAUGUAACCUAAAAAUUUUAGCAUCGCAAUGUCAAACAGUUAAAUACAGUGCUAAAAGAUAGUCAUCUCAGAAAAAAAGGCAAAAAAUUCUAAUUCUUUCGGCAUCAAUUCUUCUCAACUCAGGUGUCCAAUCAUGAAGGAUGGGUGUUUGUUGCGGAGCUGCUCCUGGAGGAGAUCUUGCAUUGCUGAGUCGCAGUUCAAUGCAGUUGGUCCAGUAGCGGAAAGAUUUGUCCAUUGAAAGAGAGGAUAUGCUGACAUCGUAUUUUUUACACAACGCAGAAAUUUUCCCUUAUAGGUUCAAAAGAAGGAAAUCCUUUUAUAAAAAGGAUAUGCUGUCAUCGUUUCUCUAACACUAUGCAGAAAUUCCCUCAUAUAGCUCCAUUCCAAAUUUCCAAAUAUCUGAAGAGACUGGGAAGGAUGUGGAAGAAGAAAAGUGGCCCCUGCAACAUAUUUUUUUUAUAAAAUAUUUUUUUAUUUUUUCUUAUUUUUUUAUAAUAUUUUUUUUUGAGCUCCCGGCCUCACGCAGAAGUGCGUCCAAGAAAGAGGGAUCCUCGGGAGCUGGCCCUGAAGCGCUCGAGAGUGGCAAUGACGUUAUUGUCCCGACGAGGGAUGUUUCGCCGAUUGGUGAGUCGAUUUUUAAUUAACCCCUUCCCUGUUUAAAAUAGUUAUUUUUUAAAUAAAUUUAAUUAAAAUAAAUUCAUAAAUUGAAAAUGAAUUUUUUUAGAUAUUAAUUUAUAAAUUAAAUUGAAAAUGAUUUUUUUGAGAUAUUAAUUUAUAAAUUUUUUAAUUGUCUUGCCUUUUUUAAAAAAUGUAGAUAUAUCAAAUUGAUCCAAAUAAAAUAUUUAAAUUUAAAAAUAAACAGGGAAGGAAUUCUGACAACAUGGUGACACCAUUGACAAAAUUUAUUAUUUUGUAGUAUUGUUUAGGGGUAAUCUAAAAAAAGCGUGUGAUAUUUUCGGAAAUUUAGCCCCUCAAAAUUUCUAACACUCCCCACAUCCUAAAGUAUUACAUGUUUUAUGGAUUACUACCUUAAUACUAUCUAAAUUAAUAUUAUUGUCAAUGUUUCUUUUCAUUGUUUCUAUAUAUGUUAUUUAUUUACUGUAUGUUUAAUAUUUUUAAUGCUUUGUAAUUUUGCUUAUUGAGUCAAAGUAAUUUUCUAUGAAAAAAGUAAUUUAAACUAAAUUUACAAAAUUUUAUUAACUUUAAAUAAUUUAAUUAAUUAAUCUUGUUAAACAAUUUUUUCAUUUUGCAAAUUAAAUUUUUUAUUUAAUUCUUAAAAGUUAAUGCAUGUGGAAUUAAAAAUUAAAAGUUUUUGAUAAUUUUUUAAUAAUUAACUAAUUAAAUGUUUUCUUUUCAGAAAAGAUCGCUCAGGUGACGGUAACGUCCCGGGACGUUAACCCUAGUGUAGGUAAUUGCACCUGGGCGGUAUUAGAUUCGUUUAGAAUAUAAUUAUAGGUAGGAAAUUCGGGAAAAAAUAGGCAUUUUUGUUCGUUUUAAAUAUAGCAAUAGGUAGGGAAAUCGGGUAAAAAAAUGUAAGUAAAAAAUAAGUAACUGGAGUACCAGUGAAAAUUUAAUUUAUUUCUAUCUUUUAUUUCUUUUGUCACUAUGUUGUCUUUUCUAUUUUAAUGUUUUGUAUAUGUUUUAUAAGUGUUUUGUGUUUGUUUUUUAAGUGUUUUGUGAAUGUUUUGUUUAAUUAGUCAUUAUUUUCAGUUGAUUCAUCGUGGUGAGCAAAUAUAUUUUUUUACAAAUGUAUUAAUCAA